rnacentral:misc_RNA from 1 species
GAUGAAGAACGUAGCGAAAUGCGAUAAGUAAUGUGAAUUGCAGAAUUCAGUGAAUCAUCGAAUCUUUGAACGCACAUUGCGCCCGCCAGUAUUCUGGCGGGCAUGCCUGUUCGAGCGUCAUUACAACCCUCAGGCCCCCGGGCCUGGCGUUGGGGAUCGGCGGAAGCCCCCUGCGGGCACAAGGCCGUCCCCCAAAUACAGUGGCGGUCCCGCCGCAGCUUCCAUUGCGUAGUAGCUAACACCUCGCAACUGGAGAGCGGCGCGGCCACGCCGUAAAACACCCAACUUCUGAAUGUUGACCUCGAAUCAGGUAGGAAUACCCGCUGAACUUAAGCAUAUCAAUAAGCGGAGGA